CCUACAAGGCACUCAGUGACUCAUCGGGAACACUCAUAGAAAAGGUUCCCUACACGUUUAUUAAAACUGAUAUAGACUUCUGUUGGGUUUUUGUAGAAACUUUACUAGUAUAGCGAUUACGUAAUACAGAUAGUUUGGCAUAGAUGGCGGUAUCGGUCACUAGGCAAAGAACAGAACUUCAAAUUCGGGGUGUCGUCGCGAGUUCAUUAAUUCCACAUAUUGAAAAAAAUAUAAAAGUUGUUUUAUUGGAGUUUUGGACAGUAAAAAAAUUAUUGUAGUUUUAUAAUAGUGUUCACUUUGACUCGGAUUAUGGCUAGAAAAAGAUUAUUUGAGGAAGAAAUUAUACAUUUCUUGACUAUACCAUCGGGUAGCGAAGAUGGCGAAGAUUCUUCUGCAGCCGACAGUGAUGAAGAUACUGAAAGAUUACGAUCCACUCUUAGCUUUUUGCCAGAAUCACUUAAUGACAUGGAAGCAAAUCAAUGUCCUUCUACUAAUGAAGAUACAAGUCACGAAAACAGACAUGAACCAAGCCCUCGACCCAGUACUUCGGGUGCAAUUUCAGAGCCCACUGCAGGUAUUGUUCAACCGUCACCAACAGCCAGACAAUCUUCGACUUUUGUGAGUAUUGCCACAUCUAACAGAACUAAAACCAAGGUCUCUUGCUCUCAAAGAAAAAAAAGGAAGUUCAUCUGGAAAAAGAAGUCUUUUCAACCAGUUCUGCCUCAGUUUACUGGAAACACAAUUUUACCGCCAUCGAUUUCACAAUUUGAAACACCCUUACAAUAUUUUCUAUGGUUUUUUGAUAAUGAAUUAUUAGAACACAUCACAGAAGAAAUGUACAAA